CUAUUGUAGAAAUUACUAGGAUUUGGUUAGGAUUUGAUUUAAGAUUUUAGAUUUGGUUAGGAUUUGAUUUAGGAUUUAGGAUUUGAUUAGGAUUUGUUUUAGAGUUAGGAUUUGAUUAGGGUUUGAUUUAGAAUUAGGAUUUGGUUAGGAUUUAGUUUAGGAUUUGAUUUAAGGUUUAGGAUUUAGUUAGGAUUUGAUUUAGGAUUUGGUUAGGAUUUGAUUAGGAUUUGGUUUAGGGUUUAGGAUUUGGUUUAGGAUUUAAGGUUUGAUUAGGGAUUUAUUAGGAUUUAGUUUAGGGUUUAGAAUUUUAUUAGGAUUUAUUUAGGAUUUAAGAUUUAGUUAGUUUUUGGCCUAAAGUUUGAAUGAAAUUGAAUAGAAUUUUAACUAAGAUUAAAUUAAGAUUGAAUUGAGAUGUAUUUGAGAUAUAUUUAUGAUCAUUUUAAUAUUUUUUUAAGAUUUCUUAUUGUUUCUUUGUGAUUCCUUUGAGGUUUCUUUGAAUUUGAUUAAAGCUUGCUUAGCAUUGUUAUGG
rnacentral:lncRNA from 1 species